GCUCGUAGAUGGGAUCUCAAAUCGGCCUUUUUGCGUUUGACCAAGAAAAUUGCUUGUUUUCGGAUUUCUCUUCCUAAGGCAACAUCUCAAUGUGAUAACGAUCCCCUACCCCCAUGUUUUGGGCUUGUUUUUGAUCGGAUUGGUAGGUUUGGAGUGGAGGAUAAAGACUUAGAUUCUGAUUCAGUGCCCUUCUUAUUAUGUGUUGUCUGAACUAAGUAUGCAAGCAACUCCCUAUUCAAUCAACUAUGGAGAUUGAGUUACCUCUUCGAACCUAAACUAGCUCACUAGCCCACAAACUUAGAUUGGAAUGGAUUGUGAAUCGGAUUAAAUAGUUCAUGAGCUUGACUAAACCGUACUCUCUAUUCGUUCUACUUGAGCUAUCUCGCCACUUUCAGACUUAGCCUGAGACUUCUAACAAA
rnacentral:lncRNA from 1 species